UGUACGCAAACUCCGCCAAAGGAAAGUACUGCUCCUAAUAACCCUCAAACUCCAAUACACAAGUCUGAAUUUGCCUAUAAAUAACAAUGUUUUUCACCUCCAAAAAGACAUAGAGUACACACCUAGGAAUCGAUUGAAAAAAGAUACAAAAAUCGAUUGAAGGCAUUCGAAAAAAAGACCCAGAAUUCACAUCCAAGAAUCUAUUGGAAACUGAUUCAAAAAGGCAUUCAAAAAAAAUUCACUGGAGAACUGAAUCAAAAUUGAUUCAGAAAUUGUUUGCUCUCUUUUUGGGGGUUUUCCGGUUCUCGAGUUUGAGUUAUAAAGCUGAGUUCUAAUCUAGACCCUGACGAAAAGUCCCCUAGUAUGCUGCUCCAAAAAAGGGUGGCGUAGGAGCUACAUCAGCGUCCAUUCCACGUUGCUGCUAGUAGUCUCUGAUUUGACUAAAAACAUCUCCUGCAUUUCAAUUCUAAUCAAGAUUUUUCUCAAUUAACAAAGAAGUACUAUGUACAUAUAUCAUUAGUUAUUGAUUUCAAUAUGUACAACAAGGAACAUAUGAAGAUGUGAGAAGACAUGGUGAAAAAAACAAAAGAAAUUUUGGAUGUGUUGCUUGAAUUUGAGGGUAAUGGAAAAGAUGAACCAGCUAAGUUAUCAGAACAUCAGAUCAACAUAUUCAUAUCGGGAAUUCACGAGCAACUAUUCUAAUAGAAAUAUGUCCAAAUGGACAAUAGCUGUGCAGUGGAUCAUCAAGUCACAAUACCGAGUGCAUUGAAGAUCUGGAUCAAAAUAUUGAAGACAAAGGGGCCUGUAGGACAAAUAAGAUAGUUUUACUUUUUAUUAGAAAGUAACUCUACUUAUUGGAGCUUGUCAUCAUUCCUCAUCAACAAUUCCGCCAUCCAAGACCACCAUUUAACUACAUCAAUUGGAGGAUGCCAUCUAACAACGUCAAACUCCAUCAAACAGAGGUUGUAUAUAGAAAACAAUGUCAAACUCCAUCAAUCGGAGGUUGUAUAGAGCAAACAUCGUCCAAAGUCCGUCAAUCAGAUGUUGUAUAUAGUAAACAUUUUCCAAAUUCCAUCAGUCAGAGUUUGUACAUAGCAAACAUCGUCAAAACUCCGCCAAUCAAAGUGUAACUCCCCAAAAAUUAUUACGCUAAGACCCGAACCAUUCUUUGUGUGCUUAUAGGCCCGAAUCCAAUAAAUUCUAUUGUAAUAUAAUUAUUAUGAAUGAUUCUGUAGUGUUUGA